CCCACCAUGACAGUCUUUUUACCAUAGGCCAAUCGAUAGGAACAAGUAACCUUUUACACUGUGGAACUCUGCAGCUUUUGGCCUGCUGACAAUGUUUUGGCACCGGCAUUUCUCAAACAUUCCCAGGACAGACUCUAAUCUGUCUUCCGCCUGCGGCAAGCUCUCAACAUGGUCUGCUCUGGAUUCCAGGUUUUGCCUCAGCUCUUCUAUCACAAUCCCUACUUAGCAUGUGGAGCUUCGGCAAUCUGAGGUCCCACUGGGCUUCCUGCUGUUCUUAACUGACCACGUGACCCACUCACACAGUCUCCCCAUGUGCACAUACAUGUGCAGGUUCCCAUGGCACAGGCCUCCCCUCUGCACCUCCCUGAAGGAAUGGUGCCAUCCCUACCUACUGGAUGAGGUGGACGUGGCCCCAGAGAACAACCAGCCAGAAGCACAAGGAAAAGUUACACUUCAGAAGCAGAAGCCCCAGCCCUGAUGGAGCCAUACCAGUGAGAAGCUGGAGCUGCGGGAGCUGUUCUCAGACACCCAAGUGUCCCCAUCAUGUCACUAUGAAAGGUUCUCAUCGUCCUGCUGGCCUGCUCUAUAGCCUCCAUUUGCUCCCUGCUAUUCAGAUCCCAUGUGUGGCCUCUGUGUUUUAGAGCAUCUUCAUGCUAUUCGGUAUGUAUUUCAAAGGAUAGGGACCAUUAGAUCACACCUGGUGCCCACGGAGAAGCAGCCCCAGGUCUCCUCAACUGGCUGUAUGGCACCGUGUGGGUACUGGAGGUGAAACCAGAUCCUGUUUAAGAACACUCAGUGCCCUUAACCAUUGAGCCAUCUGGCCAGGCCCAUCUCUCUGUAGCUGUUCCUGGAAGCCCUGACCUUACUGCGUGAAGAAAGCAGGAGAGACUUGGAGAGGGCAAAUCCUACACCUCCCUGACAUCAGGCUGUCUUGAGGGGCCUACAGUUGGGUAUGAAGCUGAUGCAGACUUAAAGAGUCAAAAGGUCACUUGGUUUGGAUAGUGGUCGGGGUGGAAUGGACAGGGAACAGAUAUGGAUGGCUGAGUUGUCAGACAAGCACAGGAAAACAGGCCUGAAGAAGAGGAUGGCUCUUAAGAUAGGACUGAAGGUUAUGUUGCAAGGCAGCAAAAGGCAAAGAGUGCUGUGUGGGAGGCCACACCAGAGUCCCAGGUCCAUAGUCCCAGGUAAUAAAUUACUUGGGUUUGGAACCA
rnacentral:lncRNA from 1 species